GGGUGACACCCACACGAGGUGAGGCCAUUUCAGGUCCCCGGUUGACGCGGGGCGGGAGGGAGAGAGACAUGGCACAGGCAAGGCAGGGCGGUCACCUGUUCGGGGCAGGGACGCGGGUGCCUGCCCAGGGAGAGGAGAAAGGACCCAGGCACGCCAGGCAAACCAGCACGGGGUCACACCACCACACACACGAGGGCAGUCCCAUGACACCUGGGACACCAGGCGGCCUCAGUCGCCCCAGAGCACUCCACGACCCGGCCCCACCAACCAGGGCCCAUGUGCAAAGGCUUCCCCCCCCUGCCACGUGGGGGGGGUUCGUCCGCCUCAUCUCACCCAUCCGUCCAUCUUUCCACCCUCAUCUCAUCCGUCCUUCACCUAGUCCACCCUCCAGGGCCUGACGCCUGGGGGAAACGCUCCUGAGCGAGGCGGCCCGAACAUGCUCGCUCACCACCUCCACACCACCAGCUGCGACCCCAGGCGAGUGCGGGAAGAACGACGGGCGGCUCGCAGCGGGGGAGGCAGGGGCAGAGGCCGCCGGGGGACGGGGCGCAUCCCCUCCUCCACUUCCCUUCCAAGGGGAGGGGCACCACGCGCCCACGCAGCAACAGCCCGGCGCUGGACGCCAAAACCCGGCCCGGCCCGCGUGACCCUCCCCCAACUCGGAGGG
rnacentral:lncRNA from 1 species